rnacentral:rRNA from 1 species
AGCAGCCGCGGUAAUUCCAGCUCCAAUAGCGUAUAUUAAAGUUGUUGCAGUUAAAAAGCUCGUAGUUGAAUUUCGGGGUUGGUAGGUUGGUCAUGCCUCUGGUAUGUACUGGUCUCACUGAUUCCUCCUUUCUGAAGAACCAUGAUGUCAUUUAUUUGGUGUCGUGGGGAAUCAGGACUGUUACUUUGAAAAAAUUAGAGUGUUUAAAGCAGGCUCACGCUUGAAUACAUUAGCAUGGAAUAAUGAAAUAGGACGUUUGAUUCUAUUUUGUUGGUUUCUAGGAUCGACGUAAUGAUUAAUAGGGAUAGUUGGGGGCAUUAGUAUUCAAUUGUCAGAGGUGAAAUUCUUGGAUUUAUUGAAGACUAACUACUGCGAAAGCAUUUGCCAAGGAUGUUUUCAUUAAUCAAGAACGAAAGUUAGGGGAUCGAAGACGAUCAGAUACCGUCGUAGUCUUAACCAUAAACUAUGCCGACUAGGGAUCGGAUGAUGUUAAUUUUUAAUGACUCAUUCGGCCG